GAUGAACGCUGGCGGCGUGCCUAAUACAUGCAAGUCGAGCGAACAGAUGAGGAGCUUGCUCCUCUGACGUUAGCGGCGGACAGGUGAGUAACACGUGGAUAACCUACCUAUAAGACUGGGAUAAAUUCGGGAAACCGGAGCUAAUACCGGAUAAUAUAUUGAACGGCAAGGUUCAAUAGUGAAAGACGGUUUUGCUGUCACUGAUAGAUGGAUCCGCGCCGCAUUAGCUAGUUGGAAAGGUAACGGCUUACCAAGGCAACGACGCGUAGCCGACCUGAGAGGGUGAUCGGCCACACUGGAACUGAGACACGGUCCAGACUCCUACGGGAGGCAGCAGUAGGGAAUCUUCCGCAAUGGGCGAAAGCCUGACGGAGCAACGCCGCGUGAGUGAUGAAGGUCUUCGGAUCGUAAAACUCUGUUAUUAGGGAAGAACAAAUGUGUAAGUAACUAUGCACGUCUUGACGGUACCUAAUCAGAAAGCCACGGCUAACUACGUG
rnacentral:rRNA from 1 species